UUUUUAACACUACUGUACCUUUCUAAGAAAACGGCUGGUUUCUGUUACAACUGUUAGUCCGCAGUAUACUUUAUAUUCACUCAGAUUCUUUUUUUUUUUUUAAAUCCAUAAUUUUCAGAAAUACUCACUGCUGGCACAGUUGUACUCACUAUAUAUAUUUUUGUAUUUGAUAUUCUUUACUGUAUUUAGGUCGAUGUCCAAGCAUCCAGCUACAAAUUACAGCCUCUGGAAAGGCUGUCUGCUGACAGUAUGUUAGGUUUUCUUACUCUGUGGAAGCUGGAUGCCUUUAACUUGAGACACGACUGAUCUUGUGUAGCAGUGGCUUUAUUUAUUCUCAACAUGUCAGUAUUUUCAUGUUGACUUUUAGCUAAAUGCAGUGAUGCGUUCUCUCCACUCCACCGUUGUGAAAACAGCUGAUUUAUUUUGAUUUUACUGCAGCUGCAGUGUUCUCUGUAAUCCAAUAGUAUAGGCCAUCAACAUUCCAUUGUGACUGCCUUAUGGUCGCUGAGCAAAUUGUUACAAUAUUAUAAUCAUUUUUUUUUGCAUUUAAAAAAAAAUCUUUUUGAUAUUAUGGUGUGAACUGCAGAAAUCCUCAGUAUUCUAGAGAAAAUGUCAGCAAGUGACUUCAUUUAAUUUUUCAUCUUUGUGAAAUUGUAGACUUGCGAAAGCAUGACUUUGUGUUAACACUGAUAACAUGGUGUUUUUUUUUUAAAUAAGUCAGUUAAUGAUCUGUGAAAAUGCUAUUUCUAAUGUUCUACGUGUUAAAUUAGUUUUACAUUCUCUCCUAUCUUUAUAUAGUAUGUUACUAAUAAGACUGUCAUUGCGCCGUGCGGAAUGAUCAUAAAGGUUUUGGAAAGCAGUCUACUUGUAUGUAGUGUGGAUGUAUUAUUUUACCUUGCAGUUUAUCCUUAAUCUGAUUUUCACAUUUGACAUAUGAAUAGUUAGUGCAGGGACACGACAGUCUUUCUCGGUGCGCUAUCAGAAAGACAUAAUGCUAACGGUUUAUAAAGAGUUUAUGUGUGUGCCACAGUGGAUUUUAGGGAUUUUGAGCAGAAUUGCUUGUUUGACACAAGUAGAGUUUUCUCCCAGUAAUAUGUUUGAGUUGUAAUACCUUUAAAAUAA